rnacentral:rRNA from 1 species
GACGAACGCUGGCGGCGUGCUUAACACAUGCAAGUCGAACGAAGUGGCGAACGGGUGAGUAACGCGUAAUCAACCUGCCCUUCAGAGGGGGACAACAGUUGGAAACGACUGCUAAUACCGCAUACUGAAGGAGGGGAUUGCGUCUGAUUAGCUAGUUGGAGGGGUAACGGCCCACCAAGGCGAUGAUCAGUAGGCGGUCUUGGAGGAUGAACGGCCACAGUGGGACCGAGACACGGCCCAGACUCCUACGGGAGGCAGCAGUGAGGAAACUUCCGGAAUGGACGAAAGUCUGACGGAGCAACGCCGCGGUGGUGAGGACGGCCUUCGGGUUGUAAAGCUCUGUUAAUCGGGACGCGGUACCGAACUAGAAAGCCACGGCUAACUACGUGCCAGCAGCCGCGGUAAUUC